rnacentral:lncRNA from 1 species
UCCUAAUUUUAAUAGAAUACUAACAAUGCUAAACAAGCUUUAAUCAAAUUCAAAGAAACCUCAAAGGAAUUCUAAAGAAAAAAUAAGAAAUCUUAAAGAAAUAUUAUAAUGAUUACAAACAUAUCUCAAAUACAUCUCAAUUCAAUCUUAAUUUAAUCCUAGUUGAAAUCUUACUUCAUUCAAACUUUAGGCCAAAAACUAACUAAAUCUUAAAUCCUAAAUAAACUCAAAUGAAAUCCUAAAUCCUAAAUCAAAUCCUGAUCAAAUCCUAAUUAAAUCUUAAAUCCUAACCAAACUCUAAAUCCUAAACUAAACUCUAAUCCUAAAUCAAAUCCUAACCAAAUCCUAAACCUAAAUCAAAUCCUAAUCCUAAAUCAAAUCCUAAUCAAAUCCUAAAUUCUAAUCCUAAAUCAAAUCUUAACUAAAUCCUAAACCAAACCCUAAUUAAAUCCUAAUCCUAAAUCAAAUCCUAACCAAAUCUUAACUCUAAAUCAAAUCCUAACCAAACCCUAAAUCUUAAACCAAACCCUCAA